rnacentral:rRNA from 1 species
UACGUAGGUGGCAAGCGUUUGUCCGGAAUUAUUGGGCGUAAAGCGCGCGCAGGUGGUUUCUUAAGUCUGAUGUGAAAGCCCACGGCUCAACCGUGGAGGGUCAUUGGAAACUGGGGAACUUGAGUGCAGGAGAGAAGAGUGGAAUUCCACGUGUAGCGGUGAAAUGCGUAGAGAUGUGGAGGAACACCAGUGGCGAAGGCGACUCUUUGGCCUGUAACUGACACUGAGGCGCGAAAGCGUGGGGAGCGAACAGG